ACCAGGAUGGCCGAGUGGUUAAGGCGUUGUACUCAAGUUCCAAUGGACAUCAGUCCUUGUGGGUUCAAACCCCACUCCUGGUA